UUGUGGAGGAGGACGCCGAAGGUGGGGUUAAUGACUGGGGUGAAGUCGUAACAAGGUAGCCGUACCGGAAGGUGCGGCUGGAUCACCUCCUAACAGGGAGACAACAACUGAUUAUGAUGUCUGAAUUAUUAAUUUAAGACCAUAAUCCUGUCACCUUAGGUCGAUCGGUACCUCAAUUUUAUAACUCAAAAAAUUGAUUUAUCUUUUUUUGAAUAUGUUAUGAAUUCAGUUCCUAAACUUUGUCUAGGUCACACCCAACAAGGGUACUCCUGGGCCAUUAGCUCAGGUGGUUAGAGCGCACCCCUGAUAAGGGUGAGGUCCCUGGUUCAAGUCCAGGAUGGCCCAUUCGGUUUGGGGGUAUAGCUCAGUUGGUAGAGCGCCUGCUUUGCAAGCAGGAUGUCAGCGGUUCGAGUCCGCUUACCUCCACUGACGCCUCCUGAGCAACCAAUCUGAUGGAGUUUUGUUGUUUGUGAUCUGGAAAUGUUUUCUUGAAUGAACCUAGCUUCUUAUCUUUCAACUUCUAAUUAAGUUUUUGUUUUACAUAGAUAGGACGCUGGGCUCACUGCAAUAAUAAUUGCAGCUAAGUUCAGUAGAACCUUGACAACUGCAUAGGUGAGUCUGGAAAGAAUAAAGCAUCUCAUGGAUGCAUUAAUUUCUAGAUAAAAUUUAUUUUAUUUCUGAAUUAAUGUUUAAUUCUUGAGCAAGAGCCGAGACUCUAUAAAGUCAAUUCUUAGCUUUAAUGCUUUGAGGAAUUGCUUUGUAGAGAUUAAUGGUCAAGCUACAA
rnacentral:misc_RNA from 1 species